rnacentral:rRNA from 1 species
GACGAACGCUGGCGGCGUGCUUAACACAUGCAAGUCGAACGGAAAGGCCCUGCUUUUGUGGGGUGCUCGAGUGGCGAACGGGUGAGUAACACGUGAGUAACCUGCCCUUGACUUUGGGAUAACUUCAGGAAACUGGGGCUAAUACCGGAUAGGAGCUCCUGCUGCAUGGAGGGGGUUGGAAAGUUUCGGCGGUUGGGGAUGGACUCGCGGCUUAUCAGCUUGUUGGUGGGGUAGUGGCUUACCAAGGCUUUGACGGGUAGCCGGCCUGAGAGGGUGACCGGCCACAUUGGGACUGAGGUACGGCCCAGAGUCCUACGGGAGGCAGAAGUGGGGAAUAUUGCACAAUGGGCGGAAGCCUGAUGCAGCAACGCCGCGUGCGGGAUGACGGCCUUCGGGUUGUAAACCGCUUUCGCCUGUGACGAAGCGUGAGUGACGGUAAUGGGUAAAGAAGCACCGGCUAACUACGUG